GGUUAACUCUUCUGUGUAAGAGAUCAAUGCCAAGUCAAAAGUGCUGUCAUUUCAGACUGUGGAACAUGCUGGAUUUCAUCUUAUGGAGUAUCUUUGUUCUGGGAAUGUUGCAAAUAAAGGAUUCUAGGAUGAGAUGGCUGCAGGUGGGACAGACUCAGCUCUACACGGAGUUUAUUUGUCUGCAGCUUGCAGGAGACAAAAGAGAGGUUGCUGGGCUGGAGGAGAGACGAAGAAGUCAGUCAGUCAGCCAGCCAUAUUCCUAAAGACUAUGUGGCUGGUAGUCAGCGCAGGAACUGGUGGGAGCAGCUGGCGGUGGCUCAGAAUGCAG
rnacentral:lncRNA from 1 species